CUAACAUCCAAAUUAUUCUCGGCUUCCUGAAACACUCCCUAUCAUAAAGAGUGAUUCAAGAGUGUGCGUUUGUGAAAUACGUCUUGCCCUUUACUUAAGAGGCAGUGACUUGGAGAAGCAGAUAUUUAGAGGAAGUCCAUUUGCUUGACAAAAACAUCUAUUACUUUUAUCACCAUUGGAGACCGAAAAAGAAUCAAUUACAAUACUUCACUUGGGAAUGACUAAUUGAAUUGUGAAACAUACUGAUGUUCUGAAGUCACCGAGGAAAAGCACAUGGUUCAUCACUGAAGGAGCUCCAGGAAGGAAGGGGUGACAGACACUUCCAAAUCAAAAGAAAACUACAACAUCCAUCCUUCCCGUUCCCCUUGAAAACUGACACCUUUGCAGCAAAGGAUGUAACAGCCAUGAUACCACAGAAAAAGAAGGCUGGUACGCAAAGCAGACAGUUCACUGAGGUUAAAGAUAUUGAUAAUAAUGAUGAGAAAGGAAAGAAGGAAAUCAUAAGAAAAAUAAACUGAUAUCAACCUAUGACUGCACCCAAACCAUCAAGAUAUUUUCAUGAUCAUGCUGUAAAUACUUGGAUUUCUUCCUCACUUCACCCUCAUGAAAGCACAUGCACUCACACACAUUCACACAACUGUAUCACACAGUAACAGGCAAUAGUCAUGUGCAGUGACCAGUGGAGUAUUUAGACUACACCCUACAUACUUAUGCUGGUCAAGAUGAAGACAAAAGUACAGUUCUCUGAACUGUAUCUUUUUACCAGACCACAGCUAAACAAAAGGGAAUUCAGCAUAAGAAGGGCAGAUCAGCAUUUCAGAGGGAACAUGACAACUAUAAAUGUUUAUACUAAAGAAGAAGAAAUCAACCGAGGAAAACCCUCUUUACCAAGACAAGCAUCUCACAUUUCUGAGUAGCACCUUGUCAGAAUUCAUGUUGUGCUUUUAUCUGCCAGCCCCAGCUAUCAAAAUUAUCCCCAGGUCAUUCAAACGUGCCUGGAGCUGCAUACCUGUGUUUUCUUUGUAUGGAAACCAAGAAUGGGAAAGAAGAGCAAUCAGGUCUUAACAAGGCCAAGGCACACACUUGAGAUGGGGAUCAGACAAAGUCUAGACAGAUUCCUUAGCUGGGUUUUGUGUUGUGUUUUUUUGUUGUUUAUUUUAAUUGCAGUUGUUGUUUUUCCUUCCCCCCCACAUUCCUUAAUACUAGCCAUUUGGUCUUUAUAAAACAUCCAAAAUGUGUAUGUAUUUAUAUUGUAUGUGUGAAAUAUAAAAAUUAUAUAUUCUGCUAAAGUAUUCCAUUCUGAG
ensembl:lncRNA